CCGGUAGUAAGUACCUUUUUUAAAAUUAAGAUAAGCCUUACAGUUCUCACUGUUUGCUCUUAGUACCAUCAGAUUAUUAUAGGUCAUCCACAUGGCUUCUUCACCCUUUUCUCCUAGAACUAUCUCGGCAAGUCACUUCUUCCAGAUGAUUCUUCAGAGGACGCUAAAUCAAGCAGAAUUUGAAAGCCAUUCUUUUGGGAAGGAUGCUCAAGAACAGGACCUGUGAUUCCUGUCUCCCUAGAAGAGGCCCAGAUCCUUCCACUUACAGUAACAUAGUGGAUUUUAAUGACAUGGAAUUUGUUCUGAAGAAAUGAUCAGAGAUGACAUGAAGGUAAUGAAAAUGAUGUUUACUGUGGCUAUAUAUUGUGAUAAAUUAGGAGCAACCUACAUCUAUAAAUAUGAGAGUAACAAUGGAUUAUCAUGGAAUCCUGGGAGAUCAUUAAAAUAUGUCUGAAGAAUAUUUAAGACAUGAAAAAUAGUGUCUGUGUGAUACUUACAAUUGUGUAUACAGUAUUUCAAAUUUAUUUCAUGUAGGAUACUGUAACUUGGAAGAGGCAAUGUUAUUUCCUCUGGCACCUGAGAAAAUGAAAAAUGAUUCUCAAGACGUGGAUUUAACAGAGGGCUCUGGAAUGAAGCUUGGAUAGUCUCAGAGCCAGGGUGUUUCUAAAAAGAGAUCAAGAGAAAGAAGCUGGUCUUCAUUUUAGGCUAUGAUUUCAAUUCCCAAUUCCAGCAUUGUCCAAAAUGCUAAAAGCAAAAACAAAAAAUGAUUUCAAGUGUUCACAGUUGGUUGUUCCCCACUGGAAACUGGCAGAAAUUGGCCUUAGUACAGGCACAGUUUAUUUUUGUAACUUAGACUACAUGUUUAAGACACUAUUGAUUUUAAGAUGUAUAUCUGAGUGGUUAAAAGGAUAGUGUUUAGUAGGAAUGAAGCGUAUUUUAAACAUAAAAUUGAAGGAACUAUUCCAAAAUUUAGCAGUAGACACCUACUUAUUGGAUUGAAUAUUUACUUUAUGACAGACAUCUAAAUAUUUAGCUUAAUUAGAAUUGUCUUCACUCUGUUUUAAAGUCUGUCUCUCUAAGUUUAUUUUGAAUCACUGCCAACCUUUGGUAACGAAGCUUAGACUUUAGAGUUUUAUCAUUUGGGGACUUUGGAAAAUGGCCAUGUUUGUUUUGGCCAGAGAUUCAUGAGUUGUUAGUGUUAGCAGGUAUAUGACAGUAUUCCAAAACAUCCUUAGAUUCUUGCUUUGAGAGGAUAGAGACAAAGGAGAGAGAUGAAGUUAAGAGCUCAGCCUAGGGAGUCAGAGCAGUGCUUGUGUUUCAGUUUUGAUAUAUAGCGAUCCUAUGAUCUUAUGUGAUUUAAAGUUAUAUAACUUUAAUUGACUUAUUUAAAGACUAAGAAUGAGUUUCUUCAUUUUAAAAACCAUAAUGUGUGUUGAUGACAAGAUUAAAUGAAGUACUGUAAAAUGCCUGCUCUAUAAUAUCAUGGUUACUAUUUCUAAUCUGGUCUAUGAGGCCACUUGGCAGUAGGGUCUAUUUUUGCUUCUUUUGCUGUUCCCCUUUGUGGUUCUUCACAGGGCUCACAUGGAGAGAACUGAAAAUAUAUCAGCUUCUGAGCUUUUCCUUUUUAAAUCUUCCCUACUUCAGUGAUUGAUGGUCCUACCUAGAAGACAACAGGGCAACAGUGGAAAUGAGUGGGUAGCAGACAAUGUGCUAAGAGCUACACACCUCUAAACAUUCUUCGGACUUGUUGAAUCUUACUCUCAGAUUAGCUAUUUAUUCCUGUAUUUAUUCAUCAUUAUGGAUUCUACAUGGUUUUAAUAUCACAUGAAAAAUGUUUAAAAAUUAUAUUGUCUCAUAUCUAUAUAAAAGUAAGAUACUCUAGGUAUGUAAGAAGCUACUUUCGUAUUCCACUAAGCUUUAAUAAAAUGGAAAAACCAAAAUUGCUCAAAUUGCUUUUCUUUGAUAUUCUCAAGGACAGCUCAAUACAUUUAUGGUAUUACUUAGUUAUGAGGCAGAAUUUCUGUGUGCACUUGACAGUCCUAGGGCUUGAACUUAAGGUUGCAAGCUUGGCUUUUUGCUCAUGGUUGGCACUCUAAUAUUUGAGCCACACCUGCACUUGCAGUUUUUCUUUUUUGCUAACUACUUGAAGAUAGGCAUCUAUCAGAUUUGUUUGCAUGGGUUGGCUUUGAAUCACGAUUCUUAGGUCUCAGCCACUGAAUAGUUAGAAUACAGCUAUGAGCCACAGUACCUGGACUGAAAAAUAUAUUAUCACCUGGUUUAUCAAAUAUAGAUUUCGGUGGGAAAAUAUUGCAUGUAUAAUCAAAUUUUAGGGAAAUAUAUUUACUUUUAUGUUUAUUGAAUGUUGUAUUAAAUUUGGAUAUAAUAGAUACUCUGGUAUUUGUUUCAUAGAUCAAAUUCCUAUAA